UGAUAUAGUUACUUCCUAGCUUCUGGUUAGUUUUUUCUCUUGACGUUGAAAUAACUGUCGCAUUACUCACAUUGACAUAAAGGGAAAAGCAUUGGUGCAUGCAUAUUACACACAUGAGAUAUCCUGGCUGUUCAUGUAUGCACAUGUGCUUUAGGAUUCACAAAAGUGCGGGAAAUGGCCAGCAGCUUUCUUUAUUUACUUUCUAUUUUCUGAAUAGGUACUUGAUGGGAUUGUCUAGAGAUAGAGACAGGCAGCACCUCUGUAGCUAGGGGGUUAAACCAUCCUGUUUGCACUACUCUAUCGUCUCCCCUGACUCCAUUGUAUUCUCCACUGUCUCUCUCUCUCACCCCCUCACUCAUGGCCACCGUUCUCGCACCCUUAAACCUGCGCUCCUGGUGGUACAUGUUGCCACCCUCCUCCAACAUCUUCACUCUGCUCAUUUUCUGUACAGUGAUGUCCAAGAUCUUGUAGAUGUUCCGCAGCCAGCAGUGGUCUGCCUGCUCCAUGAACCUGGUCAGCUCCUCCAGCUUCCACACCAUCCACCGCACCUCCAUCUCGAAAACUAAGCCUUCUUCUCACGUCUCCAUCGCCACCAGUCGAAAUGACUGCAACAGGGACUCGCGAGCGACUCUUGGAGCCUCUCCAGGCCAUGCGCGCACGACUGUUGGGCACUCUCUGGGGCAUGCGCGAGCGUGUCCUCUGCUUGCCAUGACGUUCGCUGGGGCUAGCUCACUGCCUCGGCCUGCUCCUCUGCCAGUGACUGUGGCUCGAGCUCCAGCUGCAGUGUCAGGACAGUGAGGAGGUCAGAGGGGUGGAAACCAGCAAUCCAGAGGAAGAAACGCUCCUCGCACAUGAUGGACAAGACGUCGUGCUUGACGGCGGCAUGACUUGGCGCGGAACAGCGGGUCAUAAUGCUCCAACUUGGCGUCUGCAGGCGCUCGGAGGUGGGGUGGCACGUGAGUGUGCUGCAGCGCUGCCCGCAGCUCGCCUGCCCCCUCCCCACACCCACCGCACGGACUCCAUCUUGAAUGCCGCCACACCUGCCAAUGCCAAGAAACAAUUAAGAGAAAGUCAUAUCAAUAAUUUUGCCAUUACAACCUUGAGCUCAGUCUUAACAUCAAGCGCCUGCAAUUAAUCGAUCCCAGGACAAUUCGGCCUGGAUCAAAGGAUGCUUGUAGUAAGUAGACUAACCACCAACAGGGCUACUGCUGCUGUUGCCUGGCCAGGGUGAGCUCCUGGUGCAUGUGCACCAACUCCAUCUGCCUCCAGGUUCAGGAUGUAGGCCUGGCACAUCCAUCAUUCCAUCCAUUGAGUGAAGAAUGCCGAUAAUUUAAAUCAGGGUAUAUAGCAUGAAAAAGAAAACGUCCUCAGGCACCCAAUCAAAAUUGUUUCAACAACAAGCUCUAGUUAUCAAAUUAUCAACUACAUGAAUAUCAAGUAAACAACAUAUCUUCAUCCAAUAAUGACAACAAUUGGAAUCAGGGAACACGGUAACAAGAAUGAUCUGCUUGAUCAUAUUAGUUUGAAGAACAAAUCACACAUCAAAUUAAUUCAAUUAGCAACAUCAUGGCAAUUCUUCAUCUGCGAGAUUCUGAUGAGGAAUGAGCAUUGACUGCAGCUUGACACUGCACUUCACAAGCGAUUCAAGAGUGGUCAGCAUUAAGAGGCGAGUGCUUGGUGAUCAAAAGCUCUUCCCAGCAUGGGGAUCCAACUGCAAUGAAAAAACAAAAGCAGUGAGCAUAGAACCAUGGAUCUCAAACUUGUUGGGCUGGAGCACUCCGAAAUCACUGCAGAACUCAAUUUUCAUCACUGGGUGCUUCACCUCGCUUGCACACUGCACCAAUGACUUUGUCAGCAAUAAGCUGAAUUAACUGAUUUGCUCUUCGCCUCACCAACACAGCGAGAUAGAUCAAUCGGGAAUUGAGCAAGAACACAUUGAGGUAGUUCUUGUGCAGCCUGCUCUUGCGACCGGCCUCUCUGCUCCCCGCGGAAUCUAUUAGUCCUCUGGAUCUAGUGGAGCAAAAAACAUGGUGAAUUGAAUUAAUCGAGUUAUGAACUUUUCGCGCUAUUUUCCUGUGGCAGAUUCUGCACAUACCUUCUCUCUUGGACUGGCGGGCUCCUGGUCGGAACUCUGGUGAUGGCCACAAUGAAUGCAUUGUCUUCCACCUGUGGCAGAGUCAGCUCGAACUUUGGUUAGGUUAACUCCGUGGCACUGCUGGGUGGCCAGACAGCAGCUAGGACAUGUACCCGCCCCAGAUGUUGAUGCCGAGCAGAUGGUGGUGACAACUCUCCAUGGGUGACUGCACCAGCCGCCAGGAGCGGCCUCCUCUGCUAUCUAUGAACACCAACACAUAAACAAAACUGAGAGCAUUGAGGAGAAGAAAACAAAAUGAAAUGCAGGAACAGCCGACGAACUAGCUAGCAGUCCUGGUGGACGAAGACAGUAGUUGCGACAGCCUCGAUGAUGAGCUGCCAAUUAAGCUAGAAAGAUAUCACAUCAACCUUGACGGAAAUGGAUGCCAGAUCGAUCUAGAACAUGAGGGGCCAUGGAAAGGGGAGGAUGUGCGUGAAGUGGUUCUUACCUGAGUGCAGGAAGAAGAGACAGAGAGAGAGUACCGUUUGUGAAGGGUUUGCCAGAGCUUGAAGAGAGGGAGAUGGAAAGAGCCACAUCGGGGUAUCCGCGAAAAAAAAGAGCCACAUCAGGGGGAUAGUGGGUUUGGACAGUACGGAUCUAAAAUCACAUGUACGCACCUGAGUGGACAUGAUAGCUCAUGUGUACAUGUGCAUGUACAAAAUCCAACCUCUUACAUAAAAAUAUGCAAAUAUCAUUUCAUCCUUGAGCUACA